rnacentral:lncRNA from 1 species
GAAAUUCUGAAAAUGAAGAGACUAUUCCUAAUACAUGUAGAGAAUAUCAAUGCACCUGUUACUAGUGCCACUGCUCGUAUUUUUCGUGUCUACUAGAAAAACAACACUGAACCUAAAUCCACAGACAUCUGCUUUGGUUGCCAGACGAUAGGUCACUGGAGACGAAAAGUUCAAAGUUCAAAGUUUAACAACCCAAAUAGUUGCGGACGAC